GACGAACGCUGGCGGCGUGCCUAAUACAUGCCAGUUGAGCGCUGAAGGUUGGUACUUGUCCCAACUGGCUGAGCAGCGAACGGGUGAGUAACGCGUGGGGAAUCUGCCUUUGAGCGGGGGACAACAUUUGGAAACGAAUGCUAAUACCGCAUAAAAACUUUAAACACAAGUUUUAAGUUUGAAAGAUGCAAUUGCAUCACUCAAAGAUGAUCCCGCGUUGUAUUAGCUAGUUGGUGAGGUAAAGGCUCACCAAGGCGAUGAUACAUAGCCGACCUGAGAGGGUGAUCGGCCACAUUGGGACUGAGACACGGCCCAAACUCCUACGGGAGGCAGCAGUAGGGAAUCUUCGGCAAUGGACGAAAGUCUGACCGAGCAACGCCGCGUGAGUGAAGAAGGGUUUCGGAUCGUAAAACUCUGUUGGUAGAGAAGAACGUUGGUGAGAGUGGAAAGCUCAUCAAGUGACGGUAACUACCCAGAAAGGGACGGCUAACUACGUG
rnacentral:rRNA from 1 species